AGGAAGAUCUCCUGGAGAAGGGCAUGGCAACCCACUCCAGUAUUCUUGCCCGGAGAAUCCCAUGGACAGAGGAGCCUGGAUUUAUUACAAGUGUGAGGAUGAUGAUGUUAGGCGAUAAUAUCAUCCAAAGCAAACUCCCAGCAUUAGAAGCAGCUGGUCAGCAACCUCAGGUCCAGACAUGUUGCUCAAUCCUCUCUCUCCACCCAGACCCUUUCUGGAUCAGUAUGAAGAAUCCAUCCCACCCCUACACCAUGAGACAGACAGACAGGUCCUGAAGCCAUCUCAGGAGCUAAACAGCUCCAGGAAACAAGAACACAGAUCAUGGGAUAGACAAUCAGUGACUCUCAGGACACUUUAGUCUGCCCACCUGUGGGGCUCCUCCAAGGACAGCUUUGAGCCUGGAGUUCCAUGCUGCAGCAUGACCUUUGCCCCCAGCUUCCUGGGCUCCAGCUUGGGGCUCACCGGGCAUGGAGGCACCUGGCACAUGGCUUUCCACAGGAGCGGCAACAGUGGUGCCAGAGGCUGCAGAUGGUGGCAGCACAAUAGCUCCUCAGGUCGGAGGGAGCAGAAGGUGGUGAGGAAGCUUGGGGUCUCUGGCAGGAAGUGGGGGGAGUCACAUGAUCACCGGCAGCUGCAGCAGCCAGGGGGCUGUUCAGUGGGCUGUUUGUGCCCUGAACACCCAUACCCAAGGCAUUGGCCAUCCAAUCCCUCUUCGUGUGCUGCUCUGCCAGACAUGCUUGGUUCAUCAUGGCUCCAAAAUCCCAGCAAGAAGAGCGAGGUAUCUGCUGCCCUGGUGUGUGGAGAAGGACCAGCUUCUCAGCCUCUUCCUCGUCCACCAUCACCAUCUGCUUAACUUUGGGAAACAGAACUUAGUAUGACGGAUACUAAGAAGGCAACUGCUUCCCCCACCUCUUCCAAGGGCACCUGCUGCCAUCACCUCUGCUGUCAGGUCUCUUCUUGAAUGUGGUCCCAGCAGGGCAGGGACAUCCCCCUGAGAAGAGCCCACGACUCAUCACAGGGGACAGCUGCCCCUCGCAUCCCACCAGGAGGAGCCUGGCAAUGGCUCAACAAAUAAACAGGUAGUUUACCUCUCAAGAAGGUGUUCCCGGAGGCAGGAGGUGGUGCCCCAGUAAUGCCAGUAAUGCCACUUUGCUCCCUGUGCUUUCAAAGAUGUGAUGUCUGCCCAGCAUCAGGCUAAUGUGUGAGAAUGCUACACAAUGUGACAAUUUUGCGUGUUGUUACAACCAUGGUACCACCACACCAGGUUUCACCAUCUGGGACUACAAGUCCAGUCUGAUGAACAUGACUGUCUAGUUAUUAGUGGUUCUUUGACUCCAGGAUUUGCAAUGUCACAGAGGGUCUUAGGAUCAUGCAGAACUUCUCUUCUAUGGAAUUCUGUCUGCAAGAGUCAGCUCUGGGCCCUUUUCCAUCAGUACAUUGCUGGUCAGGUGUAGAC
ensembl:lncRNA